UAGUUUUCCUGCCAAGGAUGAAAUUUCUUGCUGCCAAGCUUAAUCAACGAGUGUCGAUCCAUUAAGAACAUCAGCAUGUCUCAAGACCUCUCAAGGAGUGUGUAGUAGUGUCAACAAAUGUUGACCCUUCGAAAGAUAUCAACUUGUCAAAAUGUGUACUCAUGAACGAGAGAGAUUGUCUGUCUGCAACAUAGAAAGUGCAAUCUCCUGUUAUAAGAAAGUCGCACAAUAGCUGUGCCAUCUAAACUAAUGGAAUUGGAAUCAUGUUAUAGCCAAUACAGAAACGUGGAAAUUAGGAGCACCAAUGGGACAUUUGGGCCUUUCAGCCUGCUCCCCUAUUCCUGCCAUCUUUGGAUCACCACAAAGAUCUGCAAGCUCGUUGCAUGAUGACAAGGACUACUGCAAUACUAGUGACUCUCCUUCACCACCAACCUAUAAGUGUACAAUGCACCUACAAUCAAAACUAUGUUGGACUGGGAACACCAAUAUGUAGAGUAUUUUACUGCUUGGGACUCUCAGGAGUAGGCCACCAGUAAUCAUGGUAUUGUGUCUCCAAGCUUGCUGUGAUCUGCUGCAUCUUUCACAGCCUUGCUAUUAUGGGGCUGCAGCCUGUUCCACUGGGGCUUUGAAGGAUACCUAAGAAGGAUAAGGAGGAAGGAAGGUAGACUCUAGGAUCCCAUUGUCCUGGAUAAAUAUGUGUGACACACUACUCAGACAUGUCAAACAUGACAAUCCCCUCUCUGCUUUGUACUUCUAACAAUCCUCACUAGCUGCUGAAGCAUAAUCUGGUGGACUGCUGUGAGAGCUUGCCUGUUCAUUGUGCGCACUGAUGUAGUGCAGGCUAGCAAGAAUCUCAGAACCCUCAUUUUCUGGCAGCCGUAAGAGGUUGGGUGGGUUUGGCCUGUGCUGCUUUGGAAGCUGGAGCAGGGACCAUCAGAUCCUCUGUCACAGCCCAGGCCUGCAACUGUUUUCUUGGAAAUUGUGUUUCAGGAUUUGUGCAAUGCCUUAUUUAAGGUGGAACAAUAUUCCUCCAUGCAUCUUGACAAUGAUGGUGAGAUCCAUAGCUGACUUAAUAAAUCACCAAGCCCCCUUGUGUGUACACUUCUUCCUGAAUGCCAUCCAACUCAAGACCUCAGCUAGGGCCCCUGCAAAGCAGAACUCAGCUACAACAUCACUUUUCCUUCGGCUGGCUGCAGCAACUCCUGCUUGGUGAGUCACCAUGUGCUGACACAAAUUUAAAGCUGCCCUCUAAAAUCGACACCAUGCCAUAAUGAGCUGGAAAUGUAGAGAAAGUGACGGUACUUCUUCAUCAACUGAUGUUACUCUUUCAGCAUCUUCAUGCUGAGGCUGCAUUGAGACAUCAGGAUGAGUUGGGAUUUGAGGAGUGCAUAAGGCAGGAACAUAAAGUCAUUCUGGCCAUCAUCUCUGCCAAACAACUCAUUGAGCAGUGUGAGAGGUGGUGGUGGCAAUGACAUUGACAAUGCAAUUGUUGACCUUCAUGUGAAGUCGGUGAACUAUUCCCAACACAGUAGCCAAAUCCUCAGGAACAAGAGCUGUGUAUUCACUUGCAUAACCCAUUCCCUUUGCAGGGAAUGCCUUGGUGGUACUCCUGAUACCCCCUCUACUUCCUUUCAAUCUCCUGGAUGAAAGCAUCCAGUGUGAAUUCAAAGAGUCUGGCAGCCCCCUCUCUGGUCAGUUACUGUGGGAAAUCUUCUUACCACCAAAGCCUCCAAUAUGAGAGUGUACCACCAACAGCUGUCACCCAAAUGCAGCUUCCCCUUUCAAGAACUUAAGGCUACCCGUACACACAUUGCUAUGCCUCAAGUUGACUGUGCUGCCAGUCAGCAGGGUGUUUUGCACUGGGCUGCAUGCCGCAAUCAUGUCGAUAUUUGUCUAGAGAUGAAGGAUGGGAUAUACUGGGGUGUGGUGGUUGAAAGUGGAUAAAUAUGAAUCUCAGGGUUGAUGCUUGCUAAUGGAUGCAUCAACAUCAAUUAACACAGAUUAGGAUAAUUCACUUUAAAUCAGCCACUGGUGAAGGGCAAUGGAGGACAGUUAGAGCAUCUAUUAUCUAAAAAUCAAUCUCACAGCUUUUCAUUUACAAUGCAGGGAUUGGUAAGGCUGCUUAUAACCAGCUGUAGAUUCAGCUGGGAGGUAUUAACCUUUUGCCCAACUCUGAAGCCCUAUUCGAUGGUUAUUUAUAGAAUACUUAAAUAAUGCAAUUCUCCUGCAUGGUUGCCUGAAUUGAACAACCAUUAUAACUACAUAAGACAAAUUAAUUUCAUGGCAGAUGUAACAGUCAUUAUACUUUGCACUAUGGCUGUUCACACUAGAUAACUUGCCUUAUUUUCAUAAUGCAACCCAGUACUGUACACUGUGUCUUAUUAUGUCUAUCCUUGUCAUUGCUUUAAGCUUACAGAAGUACUGUAACAUAAAUACAGUGACCAGUACUUCAUGUUUAUUGGUGCCUAAGCCUAAUCAGCCACUAGGUUGUUAAAUCUGUGCUGCCCUUAAGAAAAUGUAAUGCAUUUAAAAUUAAAUGUUAUUUUUAAUAUGAAGCAAUUAUUGAACCUUUCACAUUUAACAAUGUGGUUUUCUCAAAGGAGAUUCAUAACUC